AGGACGAACGCUGGCGGCGUGGAUUAGGCAUGCAAGUCGGACGGUAGGGCUUUAUCGUAAGAUAGAGUUUGAGAGUGGCGAAUGGGUGAGUAACACGUAGGAAUCUACCCUUAAGACGGGACAACCCAGGGAAACUUGGGCUAAUACCGGAUGAGAGUGCGAGAGAUUGCAUUUAAAGGAUGGCGAAAGUUAUCGCUUAGGGAUGAGCCUGCGGUCUAUUAGUUAGUUGGUGGGGUAAGAGCUCACCAAGGCGAUGAUAGAUAGGCGGCCUUAACGGGUGGUCGCCCACACUGGGAUUGAGAUACGGCCCAGACUCCUACGGGAGGCAGCAGUCGAGAAUAGUCUACAAUGGCCGGAAGGCUGAUAGUGCGACGCCGCGUGAACGAGGGAGCCCUUCGGGGUGUAAAGUUCUUUUCUAUACGAGCAGUGCUAUAUAUAUGGAUAGUAUAUAUAGAGGGAUAGUAGUAUAGGAAUAAGCAACGGCUAACUCCGUG
rnacentral:rRNA from 1 species